rnacentral:rRNA from 1 species
GACGUAGGGCGCGAGCGUUGUCCGGAUUUAUUGGGCGUAAAGAGCUCGUAGGCGGCUUGUCGCGUCGUCCGUGAAAACCUGCGGCUCAACUGCAGGCUGGCGGUCGAUACGGGCAGGCUGGAGUUCGGUAGGGGAGACUGGAAUUCCUGGUGUAGCGGUGAAAUGCGCAGAUAUCAGGAAGAACACCAAUGGCGAAGGCAGCUCUCUGGGGACGGUACUGACGCUGAGACGCGAAAGCGUGGGGAGCGAACAGG